AUUGAACGCUGGCGGCAUGCCUUACACAUGCAAGUCGAACGGUAACAGGUCUUCGGAUGCUGACGAGUGGCGAACGGGUGAGUAAUACAUCGGAACGUGCCUAGUAGUGGGGGAUAACUUCUCGAAAGAGUGGCUAAUACCGCAUGAGAUCUACGGAUGAAAGCAGGGGAUCGCAAGACCUUGUGCUACUAGAGCGGCCGAUGGCAGAUUAGGUAGUUGGUGGGAUAAAAGCUUACCAAGCCGACGAUCUGUAGCUGGUCUGAGAGGACGAUCAGCCACACUGGGACUGAGACACGGCCCAGACUCCUACGGGAGGCAGCAGUGGGGAAUUUUGGAAAAUGGGCGAAAGCCUGAUCCAGCAAUGCCGCGUGCAGGAUGAAGGCCUUCGGGUUGUAAACUGCUUUUGUACGGAACGAAAAGCCCCGGGUUAAUACCCUGGGGUCAUGACGGUACCGUAAGAAUAAGCACCGGCUAACUACGUGCCAGCCGCCGCAGUAA
rnacentral:rRNA from 1 species